UGCUCAAUAUUAAACAUGAACAUUAAAGGAGA
rnacentral:piRNA from 1 species